rnacentral:rRNA from 1 species
GUGGGGAAUUUUGGACAAUGGGCGCAAGCCUGAUCCAGCAAUGCCGCGUGCAGGAAGAAGGCCUUCGGGUUGUAAACUGCUUUUGUACGGAACGAAACGGUCCUGGCUAAUACCCGGGGCUAAUGACGGUACCGUAAGAAUAAGCACCGGCUAACUACGUGCCAGCAGCCGCGGUAAUACGUAGGGUGCGAGCGUUAAUCGGAAUUACUGGGCGUAAAGCGUGCGCAGGCGGUGCUGUAAGACAGGCGUGAAAUCCCCGGGCGCAACCUGGGAAUUGCGCUUGUGACUGCAGUGCUGGAGUGCGGCAGAGGGGGAUGGAAUUCCGCGUGUAGCAGUGAAAUGCGUAGAUAUGCGGAGGAACACCGAUGGCGAAGGCAAUCCCCUGGGCCUGCACUGACGCUCAUGCACGAAAGCGUGGGGAGCAAACAGGAUUAGAAACCCCUGUAGUCC